GAGGGUAUAGCUCAGUGGUAGAGUGCAUGCUUAGCAUGCCCCGGGUCCUGGGUUCAAUUCCGGGUACUUCCA
rnacentral:tRNA from 1 species